rnacentral:rRNA from 1 species
AUUGAACGCUGGCGGCAGGCCUAACACAUGCAAGUCGAGCGGAGCGGCGGACGGGUGAGUAAUGCCUAGGAAUCUGCCUGGUAGUGGGGGAUAACGUCCGGAAACGGGCGCUAAUACCGCAUACUAUCAGAUGAGCCUAGGUCGGAUUAGCUAGUUGGGGGGGUAAAGGCCUACCAAGGCCACGCGCCGUAACUGGUCUGCGAGGAUGAUCAUUCACACUGGAACUGGGACAAGGUCCGUAUCCCUACGGUGGGCAACAGUGGGGAAUAUGGGACAAUGGGCGAAAGCCUGAUCCAGCCAGGCCACGUGUGUGAAGAAGGUCUUCGGAUUGUAAAGGACUUUAAGUUGGGAGGCGUUACCAACAGAAUAAGCACCGGCUAACUUCGUGCCAGCAGCCGCGGUAAUUC